CUCUCAGUCUGGCAUGGAAUAUACAGGACACCGAAAUCACAACGCGCAACAAUGUGUCGUCUCUCAGCGUAAUUAAAAAGUUGAGGAAGAGGGGUGCGACAAAGCAGUGAAUGGAUACGUAUGAUAUGUAACUGUACACAUGUCAAGAACCGAUAGGAGUGAACACCCUCGUAACAAUGCUGCCAAAACCAUGAAAAAUAGCUGGCUCGUCAUAGAUGUACACAAACAACUACCUCCGUCAUCCAUUUAUAAGUAAGCGUGGAGCCAACAAACAUGGAUUUUUUUUCUUCAUUUGUGCACAAUAAAUGACAACAUUCAGAUCAACGUUAAUAAUUAAUUGUCAUGUGUUAGUCAUUCUAUAAAGGGGCGCUAAUGCUCGGUUUUUGCAUACAUUUAAUGUAAGCUUGCCAUCUAGCCUGUGGUUAUGUUGCAUAGCAACCAGUUUAGCGUUGAGACUUUCGUCCAGACUACUUUUUCUGGCAGUAUGUAUUUAUUGUGAAUGUAUUUAUUAAAGAAACAUUUUCAAUAAAGAUGUGUAGUUUCUUGCCUUACUGUGUUGGCAACCGGUUUAUAAAAGCAAUAAGGCACUUUGGGGGUUAGUGGUAUAUGGCCUAUGUACCACGGCUAAAGGCUGUAUGAAGGCACUCCGCGUUGCGUCUUGGGAAGAACAACCCGUAGCCUUGGUAUAUAACCCAUAUACCACACCCUCUUGGGCCUCAUUGUUUAAAUAGACGCUCAGCGCUAUAUCAAAGGGCCUACACUGGAGCCAGUUCCAAAUUUUCAACCGUAAACAAUCAGAACAUUUUGUUCAUCGUUGUAAUUGGUCAGGGGAACAUAUCCAUCGAUCUAACUGUUGUAUAUAAUGACCCUCGCUUGGUUAGCUGCCGAGACUCAAUAGCGCCCCACGUCAUGUGCCAGUACCACACGGCAGGUCUGGCAUUGUAAAUGGCCAUUGUUUUUGUUCCUGAAGGGAAUAAGCUAGAAAAUAGUUAGCUAGCGUUACUUCAGCUGCAUUGCAUUGCAAAUGUCGGCGGUGAAAAAUACAAACUUUGGACAACUAUAUGAUUAUCCAGAAUUUAUUAGAACACACAAUGUUACAUUCACUCCAGAGGAGUAUCAAAUGUAAUAACAUGUAUAUAAGGAAACUAUGUCAAUAUGUUACUAUUCCCUCUGCUAAAAUGUACUGGAAUGCAGCCCUCGGACAAGUGAACUGGAACAGUUUCGUUGUUAUCUGGUAAAUAUUGUACAUCUAAUAAGGUGAAAGAGGUAUCCUACAAACUCAUUCAUAGAAUCUACCCUGUAAAGACCUUUAUUAUACACAGAUUAAAAAUAGCUAUUGAUAACAAAUGUGUAUUUUGUGAUUGUGACCCAGAGACUCGACUAUUUAUUUUGGGACUGCUUUUAUGUCAGAAGAUUUUGGUGUGAGUUAGAAGAUUUUAUUAGAAAAGAAACAACUAUUAAUGUUAAUUUGAAAGACUAUUUGAAAGACUAGAUAUUGUGUUUUAUUUUGAACCAAAUGAUAUGGACCCUGAUUUAACUUUCAUUGUUAAUUUGUUUAUCUUUCAUGGAAGAUUCUUUGUCCAUAAAAUGAAGUGGGCAGAGAACAAACCCCUUUUCACAUUAUUUAAGAUAGAAUUGAAAUAUUAUCUUGAAAUUCUCAGUGAAUGAAAAAACAAAAAAGCAAUUACGCACCAUAAAAGUAUUUAACAAAUUGAAAAUGAAUCUGGAUAUGUAAUACCCCUGUCUGUUAGGUUUAUGUACUCUUGUUUGUAUAUUUCUGUUUUUUGUUGUUGUAUUUGUUGUGUUCAUAAUAAAAUAAAAAUCACCAGCGGCGACCGCUGGUCGAUGACCAAUCAUAUCGAGAGAUUCCCAUGACGAGAUUGACGCUAUGCGACCCAAGGCUGGAGACCGUCUUCAGCAAAGAUGGCUGACAAAAAUAGUGGGACGGAGGCAAGUGGACUCCUGAAACAACCAGCAACCCAAGCUGCUGUUGUGAAAUAGUGGAUGUGAAGAAUCUAGCUAGCUAAAGCAUUUACUGCAAAUGAUUGCUUCCUGAAAUUCCCCCAAGCAGCUGAUUGGUCAGUCCCAUUGAUGAUUGGAGCUGACCCCGCCCUCUUGUCAGAAACAGCAAUCUUCAAUUACCGACUCCUUCUGAAGCUAUAUAAGCCAGUGUUCUGUUGCUCAGAAGAGUGAUGAUUAGUGUGUUCUGUGUUGAUUGUUGUUAUUAAGAGAGCUGAGGGUGAUAGCCUGUGUUGGUUGUUUCUUAGAAAGAGCUUAUUGUUAUAUCUUGUUGGUUUUUGCUCAAAUAGUUUGUGUAUAGUAUUUUGUAGCUGGUUCUGCAAAGGUAUGUGUAUGCCAAAAGGACUGUUAUGAUUAGUAAUUAUUCUGCUUUUGUUCCUAGGGGGUGAAUGCACCUAGGGAGUGCUUAGGCAAGAGGCCUGCGGGCAUACAUAACCUGUAGUAUUCACUGUCUAUGCACACUAGGUAAGGCCUGGGCGGACCACCCCCUGUAUUUUGGUUAGUGCACCAGGUGGUGCUGAGUUAGGUAAGUCGUGGGUGGGUAGGCAGGUAAGGUAGGAGCGGGGGCUUUGACAUUUAGUUUCUUUGCUUUGGUUCCGUCCAGCCCCUUUUCCUCAAAUUUACCAUGUGAAGGAAUCAAUAAAUUCCCUGUAAGCGGUA